rnacentral:lncRNA from 1 species
UUCGAAUUUCAGUUUAUAAAUAAAUAAAUAAAUAAAAAGAAAAAACACAAACUUUUCGACUUUUUAUCCACAUGGGUGUUUUAAUUACACUCUCUUCCUUCCUUCCACGGGUUAUUCGUUUAGGGAGAAGUGAUUAAAUUUUGAGACGGUCCCUAACUCAAAUCUUAAUGAAAUUGCGAGUGUCCAAUGUAAACGUUGAUUGUAAAAGGCAGGAAAAAUUGUAACAUUGAAACACUAGUCGGCUACUGCUAGUCAUUAACAUAAAUGACGUGUUGCGUUCAUUGAGUGUGAUUUGUGGUUGUGAUGUUCAAAAUAUUUUUGUUCAGUUUAUGUGAUCAUAUUCAGUGUUAGCGACAUUGAUUAGAACGUUACUGACUAGUAAACACAUGCUUGCCCAAUCGCAAAAAUAAUAAUAUUACAAGUUGGAGCUGACCCACUUUUAUGACCCAAUGACCUACUUAAAGACUGCUAGAGUUAAGGUAGUCAUGUUUGGUAUCAAACCAAAGCUUAUGAAGUGUAGGUUUGAGCUGACCCACUUUUAUUACCUACAUGCUUAUUAUGUACUUCUUUAUUUUUCAGCUAUGAGGUCUGUGGGGUCAACUUUGGCUAGAAUUGGAGACUAUUUGGUUCCUGGAGCUGAUCCAUUCUCAGAUGCAGAACCAAAGCCAGCACCUGGCCCUCCCCUCGACCUAGCCCUGCUGCUCAUCCAGCGCCAGCUUCCUCUAGAUCUGGAUGUGGUGGAAAGGAAACUCUUACGGCAGAAGUGUUGUGGUUUAUGAAAUGCGUUGAAUCACAUUAUUCUUUUAGUUCAUGUCAGCAGAUGUUUCAAGGGCAUCCUGUAGUUGACACGUUCUCCUGUGGUGAAACAAAAUGCAGGUAUCUCUGCCAAUUUGGACUUGCUCCCCACUUCACUUCUCUUCUAAAGAGUCGCAUAAAUAAAGACAGUGAAUAUGUUUUGCUGUUUGAUGAAAGCAUGAACAACAAGACUAAAAAUAAACAAUUAGGCAUUCAUGUAAGAUUUUGGCACCAUGACCAAGUCCACACUAGAUACCUAACAUCACAAUUCAUUGGUCAUGCUGCUGCAACUGAUUUAUUGGAACACUUCAAUGCAUCAACUUCUGAUCUACGUAGAAAUGGUUUGUUGCAGGUAUCUAUGGAUGGCCCGUCAGUGAAUUGGUCUUUUUAUGACAAAUUGGGGAAAGAAAUAAAGAAUGAGUGUGGUAUGGGACUGUUGAAUAUUGGGAGCUGUGGCCUCCAUGUCAUUCAUGGAGGGUUCCAGACCGGCGCUCGUGAGACUGGUUGGGGUCUUGAUGAUCUUCUCUCCUGUCCAUACAACCUGUUUAAAGAUACCUCAGCCAAGCGAGAUGAUUUUACUGAUAUAACUGGGUGUAAAGAAUUUCCAUUGAGAAUGGUUCUGUGUGCAGCAGAGUUCUUCUACUGUGGCCUCACAUGAAGUUAUUUGUUGAGGCAUGUGAAAGCAAGAAGAAGCCAAAACCCACCACCAACUCUUAUAAAACUCUACGUGAUGCAAUGAAGGAUAAGCUGACUGUGGCAAAACUGUCUUUUUUCAGGUCAUUAGCCAGUGCAUUUGAGCCAUUUUUAGCCUUGUACCAAACGGAUAAGCCAAUGGGUCCCUUUCUUGUUCAUGAUAUUGAGAGACUAGUCCGAAAUCUGUUAGAGAGGUGUCUUAGGUCAGAUGCAUUACAGAAGGCUUCUACUGCAUAUGACUUGUUAAAGCUGGAUCUUGAAAAGGAAAGGGUAGAAAACAAAAAGAUAGAAGUUGGUUUCAAGGCUGAAAGUGAACUGAAGCCCCUCCUGAAAACCAAGGCCAUCAGUGAACGCCAGGUGUUUGAGUUCAGAGAAGACUGUAGACAAUUUGUGGUAAAAUGUGUUAACAAAAUCUUUGAAAGGUCUCCUCUAAAGUAUGGCUUAGCAGUAAAUAUGGCUUGUCUGGAUCCCAGGUAAUCAAGAACACUCAAAGUCAAAAUUGAAACGUCUGUUGGAAAACUUGGUGAAUCUGAACAGGGUUGAUGGUGAAGAUGUAGAUAUGUUGGUUGCAAGUUACAAAGAACUACUGCAUGAUGUGGCAGGGUGUGAACUGAAGUCUAGAUUCAAGGACUUUAAGGUUGAAGAUGACAGGGUAGAUGAGUUACUCUAUGAAUGUAUGGGUAAGAACAUAGUUUCUAGUUGCUAGUUUCCCAUGGUCAGGCAUCUGUUGAGAGGGGUUUUUCUCUCAACAGACAGAUAGAGAAGGACAACUUGGGUGAAGGAAUGCUUGUGGCACUGAGGCAGAUUAUUGAUUAUUUUGUAAUGGUAGGUGGAAUCCUCAAAGUUGAAAUCACAAAGGAACUGCUACUCUCAGCCUCCACUGCCUGACAUAAAUACCAUCAAUAUCUUGAAGAAGAGAAAAGAAAGAAAGGGCAAGAAGCCAUCCGAAGAAAACGAAAAAUGGUUGAAGAUGAAGUGGAUAAUUUGAAAAAGAGAAAGAAUGUGUUAGAAUCUGACAGAGAAAAUCUGACCACACUGUCAGAAAAAUAUGCAGAUGAGGCUGAGGCAACAAGUGGAAAAGUAACUAGCCACAGUAUUCAUGUGAAAUCAAAUGCUCUCAGGCACUCUGCCAAGGAAAAAAAAGGGGAACUCGAGCUUCUAGAAAGAGAAAUUGAGGAGAAGGCUAAAUCCUUGCCUGCUAUGUCCAAAAUGGAUAUUAGCCUAACUGAAGUGAAUUGACUAAGACAUGGAAGAGUCUAGUGCAAACCCUGACUGUUGAACAUUGUGUUAAAUUUCACAUAAAGUGUAACUUAUUGUCUUGUGCUGUUUACGCUAAGUUGUGUGUCAUUGACUCAAAGCACCUGGUAAGUUCUGUGUUACAUUAUUAAAAUGCAUUUGUUACAUGCAAACUAGCUUGUAUUUGUGAUUUCCUAUCUUGUUUAAAGGGACACUAACUCCAUGGUCAGAACAGCAACCAAACACAAUUUCUACACCUCCCAACAGGUAUCCCUCUAAACUGAUUUUGAGUGGAGGGUCUACUAUGAAUUCUGUUUGGCUGUGGUUUAGUCAUGAAGUUAAUGUCCCUUUAAUCUACUUGGCUACACCUUAAAAAUGAAAUUUUUUGAACAAACAAAAACUUGUGUAUGAUCAAACUUUCAAUAAAAGUAUGACAAGAUGGGGAAGUACGGUGAUGGUAAUAUAGGUGUCUUGCCUAAUUUGUUAAAACUUGCUGCCUUUUGAAUAAGUCCAGUUUGUUCAAAAAAAUUAAUUUUGGGGUAUGUAUCACUUGUCCACAGAAGACCACAGACUGAAUAAUAUCAGAUUUUGCCACGUGUGGUUACCUUAGUUUACCUAUGGAAUUUCUAGGAUGUGGUCCUUAAAAAAGGUUAUAUUAGACCUAAAAAGUCCUUAAAAAAGACAUCUCAAAAAGAGUGGGAACCCUGAUUCAGUAGUACAAAAAAAGGUGUUCCUUGUGGGAAGGACUAUAAUGUACUAGUUACUGGUAAUUAUCUUGAAAAAAUAUGCAGUAUGACAUCAUUAAAUUUUUGAACACCAAGAUACUUGCAUAAUACAGCUUUUUAUUUCUAAUAAUAUAUUGAUGAUACCAAAACACAAGAAUAAUAAUUAUAUACAGUGAAACCCCUCAAAACCAGACAUUUUUCAUGGUCCCUUUUUAAAUAUAAGUAAAGGGGAGAAAAACCCUCUAAACUGGAUACCCCUCAAAAGCCAGACAUUUUACUUGGUCCUGUGGUCGUCCAUGGCAGUUUAGAGGGAUUUCACUGUAUAUAUACAUCUAUAAUAAAGUGACCCACUGCAUCCCAAGGGAGCACACUGACGCUAUGCUUAUAUGUACAUACCAAUCUUUAGGUACAGGGUCUGGGGGUGAGACUUAGCCCAGUAGUAAAUUGCUGGUAUCGGCCCACUAUCCCUGAUUUCACUAGCCCUGGUACCACUAGCCCUGAAAAAUGACCAAUUAAUGGCUGCCAUGGAUGUUACAUUUCUUUAUACUACUCCCCUGUACAUAUAAACUAUUAAUAAAUAAACAUGUCUUGUUUUAGAUGAGAUACCCUUUUAAUGCCUCAGUUGAAAACGUGGAGUACUUACUUAAUCCUAUUCGUACAAUUCCUUUAUCUAUAAACAUGUGUUGUUUUAAUAUGCUCGCUGUGUGUUAAUCCUCUUCAUACAAUUCCUUUAUCUAUAAACAUGUGUUGUUUUAAUAUCACUAUUACUGUCAAUACAUAAUUAGUAGGGACCUCUAUAUAUGAAUGUUGCAAAUGUGACUAUACAGAUAAAUGCUCGCCGUGCGUUAUGGCGGAGGUAACCUUUGUAGAGGGUGCCAGAGGCAAUAAAGUAGCAAUUUUGGAUGACUAUGUCUUCCAUAAGAAUGCACAAGUAAAGGCAGGCAUGAAAUGGAGAUGUAGCGAGACUACAAAUUUGAAAUCCAAUGUGUUUAUUGUAGUAUCUGAGGGGUUAGUUGUCAAACAACAGUAGGAACACAAUCACGCUCCCAAUUGAAGCUCAUAGGUUAAAAGCUAACAUGCGCAAGAGGGCUCGUGAAGAGUCAGGUCUUAUUCAGGUUAUUUAUGAGCAGGAGAAGGUGAAGUUGCUACAACCAGAAACCGCUGCAGCUGAAGUUGCAGCUAACCUACCACAGUUCUCAGGAACUCGCCUGCCUGUGCACCACCUCCAGUUGAGAUCCGUGUUGGUCGGAGAAGUCUAAUGUCACUGGGAAUUCCGUCCGCAUCCUUGACGAUGUAUGACUGUCUAUCACAAUGGUGUACCACAGUGUUGAACUCUUCUUGACUAAGUCUCUUGGUAACUGGUGAUACUUCAACAAACAUAUUCUGGAACACUGUCCGCAAUCUGCUGCAAAAACCAACAGCAGCUCAAGUUGCCUGUCAUCACCCAAAACCCAUACUGCUUGAUACUGGCGAGAUUAGUUUCCCAUAUCUAUGGCAACCACAGAUUAUUGAAGUGCAAAUCUUGAGACUUGGUCAGUUGGCCAUCAUUGCUGUUCCAGCAGAGUUCACGUAUGUUUUCAUGUCUUUC